rnacentral:snRNA from 1 species
AUACUUACCUGGCAGGGGAGAUACCAUGAUCACGAAGGUGGUUUUCCCAGGGUGAGGCUCACUCAUUGCACUGCGAGUGUGCUGUAUUAAGAAAAAAAUUUUAUUCAAUUUUAAUUAAUUGAAAUGUAAACAGCCAUAUGUGGCUAG